rnacentral:rRNA from 1 species
UACGGAGGGUGCAAGCGUUAUCCGGAUUCACUGGGUUUAAAGGGUGCGUAGGAGGGCAGGUAAGUCAGUGGUGAAAUCUCCAAGCCUAACUUGGAAACUGCCGUUGAUACUAUCUGUCUUGAAUAUUGUGGAGGUGAGCGGAAUAUGUCAUGUAGCGGUGAAAUGCUUAGAUAUGACAUAGAACACCAAUUGCGAAGGCAGCUCACUACUCAAUCAUUGACUCUGAGGCACGAAAGCGUGGGGAUCAAACAGG